rnacentral:ncRNA from 1 species
CUCUCUGGAGAAGCUCACACACGAUGUGAGGGCCGAAGGGGCAAGACCGCGCAUGAUGCGACGGCGAAUCUCUCAGGCAAAAGGACAGGGCU